UUGCUGUUGCUGCAGAGUCACGUGAAAGUCCCCUUUAAGUUUCCAUAGAGAGGCCUCUCGGUGUCACAUGAUGGACAUGAUAUAAUGAAACAACAUUGUAGCGAGAAAAGCGUCGCGGGAGCCCAGGGCUGCUUGCACCGCGGCGGCGGCGGCGCGCGGCUCCCGCACACGGGGCGUGCAACGGGGCAGGGGGGUGCGGGCGCCCUCCGCUCCUUCCCUUCCCUCGCCUCGCCCCGCAUCGCAUCGCACCGCACCGAGGAGCAGGAACUUUCUUCUUCUGCUGCUUGUUUGUGCAACCAGCGCAGCCGGGACGGGCUUGCACCUGCCCGCGCCCGGAGGGCAGGGGUGCGUGCGUGGGGGGGAAAGGCCCUUCCCGCUUUGCGGGCGGAUUUGCCGGGAGCACCUGAAGGUUCUGGGACUUUUUGUUGACUUAGUACUACAGCCAAUGUUGAUUCAAUAUGUGGAGCUAUGAAGACUUCUUACCUGCUCACAGUGGGAAAGAGAUAUAUCAUCCAUGUAAAUCAAGAACUACUUGGCCGUUUCCUAGGCAACUGUGGAAUAAUUAAAAUGAAGAAGGGCUGAUGUGCCAGGCAUAAGGGAUUUUUAUCAGAUGAAAAUGAAAUGCUCUCUUCUGUCUUGAAGAAUCAGAUCUGUAUCUGCCAGCAAACAUAAGAAAGGGGAAAUGGAGACUGGGCCACAUGAAAGGGAAAACAUCAUCAAAAAGUGCUGAUCUUGUGACAGUCCUCUACAUACAUGAAAAGGAGAGAAUUGGUUAUAUGACGGGGGGGAAAAAACUAUUACAAAUUGCUGUGAAUGGAAAGGUAAGUAAUUCCUUAUUCUUGUAAAUCAGCAGAGCAUAGCCUCUUCAUGGAUUUUGUUUCCUGAUAGAUAGAAAGGAGGUAGUAUGAAUAUGGCUACCAUGUAUUCUUUGACAUUGUGCUGCUUAGUUGGAGGAAGGUCAAAGAUUUAAAAAAAAUAAAAACAGGAUUUGUGCUCUGUUUUUACUUUUUUUAUCAAGUAUUAGAAAAGGACUAAGAAGUUUUUUUGUUUUGUCUUUUAAUGAUUUUUUAAAUUUAUUUUUCUACUUAUUCAUUUAUUUUAAUUUUGUGAGCUAUCACACCUUAGUGGAAGGAUUGGAGUAUUUUGAAAUCAUUAAAUAAGGGAUUAUUUUUUUUAAAGUGCAUAAAAGCAAUUGGAGUUAAAUACAUUAAAAUGAAACAAUUACAUUUUACAUAGCCUAACUAAAAAUUCCUCCCUCUUCAAAUUGAUUACCUUUCUGCCUCUGUUGUUAUCGUUUUACUAGUUCCCCACAUUUUACUAGUUCCCCCAUGUAUAGGCUUCCAAAAUGGGUAAGAUUUUGCAUCGUAAAGCGCAGAGCAAUUAAAAACAAAAAUCUUCUUUUUUCCUCCCUCCCACAAGAGAAAACCUUUCCAAACCUUGCUUAUAAAAAAAAUUUUAAAUGGACAAAAUAGUUUUUUCCUUUGCAAGCAACCUUUAACACUCUCUGGCAGAAAAGUUACCAUGAUUACUCAUUAAGCAGUGUAGGAUUUAGUGAAGCCAGAACUGCAGGUAAGUAGAGCUUCAAAACCAUUGUGAAUCUCUGCUUUGAUGAAUGUGCGAGUAUGUGUAUAAAUGGAUGCAGGAUAUUUCACUGGACAAGAAACCAAAACUGUGGCCACGGAUUUUGAGUCCUUCAUGGCCCUAAGCGUGUGUUCAGCACUGAGUUUGGGCAAUGACUAUUAUUUUAAAUCUUGGGUGAUGAUCUCCUCACCAGGACAGUCUCUAUAAAAAUGAGACGCAUAAAUCUUUGUUUCCACAGUUUUGAAUUAAAAAGUAAGUCCUUUUUUAUAAAAUUGUCAUUUGUUUGUGUCUUGUCUCUAACGAGGAACCUAACAGGUGUAUUAUUUUUUGCAAUAAUGCUUGUGGUUAUGGUGAUUCAAUUUGGAUGUCAACGGCUUCAGAACGGGUACGAGUUUCAGUACCACGUGAUCCAUCUGCCAAAGACCGCUUCAAGGACGGAUAACUCAAUUGUUGCUGUAAUAAAUAUGCGUCUGUUCUUUAAGGAUCUCUUAUUUUCCUAGUGUUGAAGUGAUGCUGUUGCUGUGAUAGUUCAGGAAAUAUGUGAGAGGCAAUACUUCCAGUGGGUGAUAUCUUUUAUGGGAUCAACUGUAUGGUUGGGAUUGAUACAGACCAACAUUUCUCAGCCCGUCGCGAUACAAAAGUGGAUCGCAAGAAUAUAUGAAAGAGUCACAAACAAACUUUAAAAGUGGAUCCACAAACUUAGGAGAAAACUGGGGGUUUUCCGUUGCAGGCUGGCAGAGCUCCAGCCUGCAAGGGGCUGCUUGGGGCCCCCAUACCCCACACAACUACCUCUGCCCCAUACAUUAGGGAGCAGGGGGCAGCUGGUUGGGAGUGAGGGGCACUGGGUUGGGACUGGCCAUUCAUGUUUGCAGACAGGUCUUGGUACAAAAAAGGUUGAGAACCACUGGUACAGACAAACUUUCCGGUAUCACAGUAUCCUUCCUCAGGCCUCUGUUUUCCUAAGAAGUGCAUUCUGUAAUGUAAGUCUGAAAAGGCUUCAGAGAACACAACCCAGCAAAGUGGGUAUGUCUAUCAAAAGGAUUCUUGCAAAGCUCUGUACUGCUUGUAGUUCCUAAUCCUACCCUCUUCUUACAGAGCUGUACUUCCAAAGGCUCCUGUGGGGAGGAGGCAGUGAAUGAGAUGAGUCCGCUAUGCAGCUGACUACACUGAUCACACAGUGGAUUGGUCUGGAAAUUUUGAUUGUGGAUACUCAAAUGGUUUGUCAUGUCGUCAUCAUUGCCAAAUGACAUUUAACUUUUUAACUACAGCCCUUUUUCUUCCUGGCUUUUCAUUUUUAAACAAAUACAACCUCUUUACUCAUAUAAAUGCCCAGCUAUGGAGGCCUUGAUGGUUUCCUGCUGCUCGCCACCUGGAAGAUAAUGGAAUUAUUUCACAGCAAAAGAUUUUUAAGUAUAGAUCAGAUACAGUGAAGCUUCGGCUCUAAAUGAAAGCUGAGUAAUGAUUUCACGCUUUGACCCUCUAAUUUUUAUAGAAGUCAAAGGUGUACAAUUCAUUGCAGGAGGAAGCUCUCAAUCCUGCUUCAAGUGUUUUGCUGAUUUGUUUUUCAGCGCUGACUUAUUGUGAGUGAUUCACAUGCGCUGAAAUGUUUGCUGCACUGAUUUUUUUUUUUUCUAGGAAGCUAAAAGGUUGUCUCGGCUUGCUCAGGCAGGUUUCUUCUUGACGAAAGGAACUAUCUCGGUGAGAAUCAGGUUGGCUGCGUGCACAUCUAGAAAUGUCAGGAAGAGUUUGUAUGCAUAUUAAGAGUAGAGUGUAUCCCUGAAAAUGUUCAUUUAACCUAGUAAAAUAAAAAUACUUUUCUAUGUUUGUUUUUCUGAAUAGGUCAAAAAUGCCAGCUUACAUGCUGAGUGAGCUUUCUUAAUACUGAAGUAGGCAAGUGGGAAACCAAUGGGGAAUGAAUAGGUCAGGGAAGGCAAGAUGGAACAUUUUUACUUGUAUGUUUGUUGUUUGAGUCCAGGUCGGAAACUACCGAAAAUUACUGCUUGCUUAAUUAAAUCUUUUGUGAAAUGACUUUGUCUCAAUAGAACUACAUUACAAAACCAAGAGCAAAGUUGGCAUUAAUUGGUAUCUCCACAAAGGGCCAAAUUCACAAUAAAAUUGUGUUCUCAGAGCCUUCCCUUUCUUGUCAGGAAGGAGAUAUAUUGAAGAGAAAUGUUGGGAGCCCACACUACCAUUUCCCAUACCAUAUCUCUUCUCUGAAAAAAUAAAGGACUUCUGCAGAGCUAUCAAUAUAAAAUCUUUCAUUGGUGCCAUAUUUAAAAAAAAAUUUACGUAACAAAAAUUGAAUGGUUCAUCUGACACAGUUCUUACAGUGCUUAUGGUUUACACGUGGACAAUCUUGCCUUGAGCAAGGGGUGGUCUCUUCUACCCCUAUUUUUCUGUUUCUACAAUUUUGGGGGAAUCAUUAUUUCAAUAUCUUAUUGGUUGAAUCAACUAAAGCUGCAGUGGGCAAAAGUCUAGAAAAGUGCAUUUACACAUCUCCUGAUAAGAAACAUUUGAACAGGAAGCAAUAAAGCUCAUUUUUUAGGAAUUUCCCAUAUGGAAAUGUUGCUUUUUUGGGGAAACGUUUCCAAAUUGCUGCUAGCAAAAGUUCUGUAUGGUUAAUCUUGGAGUCACAUUUUGUAAUGCACACAAUUUUCAUUUGCAUAAGUAAAAAUAAAGUGGUGGUUUAUAUCUUACUUUGAAUUUAACCACAGGAAUUCUUUUUCAGGGAAGAUGAAUGCCCAGCUGUAGAGGUCUUGAAUGCUUCUUAACCACAUGUAAAUUAACGGAAUUGUUGAGCAGUAAAAACAAGUCAUAGGCCUCAAUAUUACAGUGAUUUAUAUAGGUGCUGAGCAAAUUGGUUUCAUCAUGGAACUUCUAGCUGCAUUUAAAACCAACUUUGGUUUUACAAUACAGAAGAGAUCGAAUGAACCUGAAUCAUGCAACAGUAGGACAAAGCCCAAGGCUUCAGUAUGUUUCAAGAGUCACAGAAAAUGAGGGUCAAAAGGGACCUCAAGAGGUCAUCUAACUCAACCCCUGCUCAAAGCAGGACCAUCCCCAACUAGAUCAUUCCAGCCAAGGCUUUGUCAAGCUGGGUCUAAAAACAUCUACAAGGAUGAGUCCAUAACCUCUCUGGGUAAAUUGUUCCAGUGUUUCAACACACUCCUAGUGAGAAAGUUUUCCCUAAAACCACCUUAAACCUCCCUUGCUGCAACUUGAGCCCAUUGCUCCUUGUUCUG